rnacentral:rRNA from 2 species
GAUGAACGCCGGCGGUGUGCCUAAUACAUGCAAGUCGUACGCACUGGCCCAACUGAUUGAUGGUGCUUGCACCUGAUUGACGAUGGAUUACCAGUGAGUGGCGGACGGGUGAGUAACACGUAGGUAACCUGCCCCGGAGCGGGGGAUAACAUUUGGAAACAGAUGCUAAUACCGCAUAACAACAAAAGCCACAUGGCUUUUGUUUGAAAGAUGGCUUUGGCUAUCACUCUGGGAUGGACCUGCGGUGCAUUAGCUAGUUGGUAAGGUAACGGCUUACCAAGGCGAUGAUGCAUAGCCGAGUUGAAAGACUGAUCGGCCACAAUGGAACUGAGACACGGUCCAUACUCCUACGGGAGGCAGCAGUAGGGAAUCUUCCACAAUGGGCGCAAGCCUGAUGGAGCAACACCGCGUGAGUGAAGAAGGGUUUCGGCUCGUAAAGCUCUGUUGUUGGAGAAGAACGUGCGUGAGAGUAACUGUUCACGCAGUGACGGUAUCCAACCAGAAAGUCACGGCUAACUACGUGCCAGCAGCCGCGGUAAUACGUAGGUGGCAAGCGUUAUCCGGAUUUAUUGGGCGUAAAGCGAGCGCAGGCGGUUGCUUAGGUCUGAUGUGAAAGCCUUCGGCUUAACCGAAGAAGUGCAUCGGAAACCGGGCGACUUGAGUGCAGAAGAGGACAGUGGAACUCCAUGUGUAGCGGUGGAAUGCGUAGAUAUAUGGAAGAACACCAGUGGCGAAGGCGGCUGUCUGGUCUGCAACUGACGCUGAGGCUCGAAAGCAUGGGUAGCGAACAGGAUUAGAUACCCUGGUAGUCCAUGCCGUAAACGAUGAGUGCUAGGUGUUGGAGGGUUCCGCCCUUCAGUGCCGGAGCUAACGCAUUAAGCACUCCGCCUGGGGAGUACGACCGCAAGGUUGAAACUCAAAGGAAUUGACGGGGGCCCGCACAAGCGGUGGAGCAUGUGGUUUAAUUCGAAGCUACGCGAAGAACCUUACCAGGUCUUGACAUCUUGCGCUAACCUUAGAGAUAAGGCGUUCCCUUCGGGGACGCAAUGACAGGUGGUGCAUGGUCGUCGUCAGCUCGUGUCGUGAGAUGUUGGGUUAAGUCCCGCAACGAGCGCAACCCUUGUUACUAGUUGCCAGCAUUAAGUUGGGCACUCUAGUGAGACUGCCGGUGACAAACCGGAGGAAGGUGGGGACGACGUCAGAUCAUCAUGCCCCUUAUGACCUGGGCUACACACGUGCUACAAUGGACGGUACAACGAGUCGCAAGCUCGCGAGAGUAAGCUAAUCUCUUAAAGCCGUUCUCAGUUCGGACUGUAGGCUGCAACUCGCCUACACGAAGUCGGAAUCGCUAGUAAUCGCGGAUCAGCAUGCCGCGGUGAAUACGUUCCCGGGCCUUGUACACACCGCCCGUCACACCAUGGGAGUUUGUAACGCCCAAAGUCGGUGGCCUAACCUUUAUGGAGGGAGCCGCCUAAGGCGGGACAGAUGACUGGGGUG